UACAGAGGGUGCGAGCGUUGUUCGGAAUUACUGGGCGUAAAGCGCGCGCAGGCGGCUCUUUAAGUCUCGUGGUCAAAUGCCGGGGCUCAACCCCGAGCGUGCCGGGGAUACUGGAGGGCUGGAGACAGGUAGAGGCAAGCGGAAUUCCGGGUGUAGCGGUGGAAUGCGUAGAGAUCCGGAAGAACACCGGAGGCGAAGGCGGCGUGCUGGGCCGGGUCUGACGCUGAGGCGCGAAAGCGUGGGGAGCGAACAGG
rnacentral:rRNA from 1 species